ensembl:processed_transcript
AAACUCCUCCUGGGAGGCCAGGGAACAGAGCACUGUUGCACCUUCCUACCGGGUUACGGGGUUCCUACCAGCCAGGUCGCAACCUCAGCCCAGUAUUGGAAUCCUCCCAUUUUGAUAACAGGCAAGAAGAAUCUAAGGCGGAGGAGGAAGGUUCGAUCCUGGGGGUUUUGAAAGCAAUGAAACUCUGAGCCUGGCUGCACCACCCUCGGGCUUGCCUUGAUGGUAACUUCCGGAGGAAACUUUGAAGAGAAGGGCGAUUCUGAGAAAAAUGCCCUGCACCCACUUUUACCACCCGGGUCACAGUUCUCUCACUGUCCCUAGCAAUCUGGCCCCGUGGCGUCUGUCCCGCCUAACACAGCUCAGUUGGGGGGUGGGUGCGAGGGUUGGGGACUAGAGCCUGUGAUGCUCCAGCAGGAGCAGCUGGCCUAGGAGGGAGUCUCUCCCCGCGCCGCUUAGCUCCGCGUCACUGCGUGGCUCCGCCCAACAGCUGCUUAGCACUCUUUCAACGACACCCAGAAAUUCUGACGUACCCUCCCCCUCUCCUCCCGGGGACGAAGGCCUGGCUUGUGACGCCGGCUCCAAAAGGGCAUGAGACUGAUGCCGGUUUCCCCGGGUGCCCCGGCCUCUCCAAACUGGGAGAGCUGGCCGGAGGUGCCCACCGAGGGGCGACCCAGGGCUGCGCUCGGUCACCCACGAUGCCCACGUACCCGAUCCGCGGCUCGCACCGCCCAGCGUGUAGCCAGCCUGCGGCGCGCUUCCGGGUAGGACACGUGACUCAGCCACAUGACCCGGGCCUGUUUUGUGGGUUCGAGCCCCGCCCCGUCAGGCAUUGCUCUCCCUUCAGGCUACUGUGCUUGCUGGUCACCCGUCGCUAGGGAGCGGUGCCACGUUCACCCUGGCAUAAGUAGGUAUCUCGCUGCCUUUAGAGGCACCUGCUGAGUGCCGGUGACAUUUCUUCUAGAGGGAGGCUCUUUUGCUUGAUUUAGCUAAAGGGAUUCCCCACAGAUUUACAGAAGGGGCAACUGAGGCCCCCGAGGAAACCACCUUGCUGAAGAAGGAACAAAUGGAACCAGAACCCAGGUUUCCUUGCACCUUCACAGGGCCCUUCCCAGGCGUUCGUUUUUUUGCCGAACCUAGUUGUAGGUGAAAGGUACCCUUUUGUGGGUGCUUUCCCUUACUUACCUCCAGGGGACGGAACCCACGUGUCUUAGUCAGGGUUUCUAUUCCUGCACAAACAUCAUGACCAAGAAGCAGUUUAGGGAGGAAAGGGUUUAUUCGGCUUACCCUUCCACGCUGCUGUUCAUCACCAAAGAAAGUCAGGACUGGAACUCAAGCAGGUCNNNNNNNNNNNNNNNNNNCCUUGAUCACUAAUUGAGAAAAUGCCUUACAGUUGGAUCUCAUGGAGGCAUUUCCUCAACUGAAGCUCCUUUCUCUGUGAUAACUCCAGCUGUAUCAAGUUGACACAAAACUAGCCAGUACACCAUGCAGAAGAGCCAAGCUACCUUUGGUGUGCUCCUUGAUUUACAAAGGUUCCCAAUCUAACUGAGGGCUGCGUACACAUUAGGGCUUUUGUCUUGAACCUGUGAGUGAUUGCAUACUAUCAAGAUUUUUAUGUGUAUUUGGAGGGGCAAAAAGAGUGAAAACGGCCAAUGGAGUCCGCAGAAGAGGCUGGACGCCUACCCCAGGUUCUCAUUGGGUACCUUGGUGCUUCUGAGAAACUUUGUGUACAACCCGGCAUGAGCACUCCCCUCCCACUAGGCAGAGGCCAAGAGGCAGUGCUGUGGCCACUCCAGCUACCUAAGGUACAAUUAAACAACAUCCCGCACGCCUGCACCUUCACCACCCACCCUGCUCAGCCAGGUUCCACAGUACAGCCACAAGCAUCGGUCUCCUGGAGUCCUGAAUCUGCCAACACUAUCCUGAUUUCGGUCAUUUCCCCCUUGCUUCAAACAGUUUGUAAGCUUGAAUAACUGUUACCCGUGAACAAUUUAUAAUUAAUCUAGUCCAUGUUACCUGAUGCUAGUGACUUGUGUCUUAUAGAUGACUAAAGGAUGGCGCUGAUCAUCUCUUCAUGUGGUUUUCCUCUUCAUUUGUGUAGCUUUAAAUUUUUUUUUGCUUUCAAAUAAAUAUUUAUUCAUAUCUUCU